GAUGAACGCUGGCGGCGUGCCUAAUACAUGCAAGUCGAGCGAACAGACGAGGAGCUUGCUCCUCUGACGUUAGCGGCGGACGGGUGAGUAACACGUGGAUAACCUACCUAUAAGACUGGGAUAACUUCGGGAAACCGGAGCUAAUACCGGAUAAUAUAUUGAACCGCAUGGUUCAAUAGUGAAGGACGGUUUUGCUGUCACUUAUAGAUGGAUCCGCGCCGCAUUAGCUAGUUGGUAAGGUAACGGCUUACCAAGGCAACGAUGCGUAGCCGACCUGAGAGGGUGAUCGGCCAAACUGGAACUGAGACACGGUCCAGACUCCUACGGGAGGCAGCAGUAGGGAAUCUUCCGCAAUGGGCGAAAGCUUGACGGAGCAACGCCGCGGGAGUGAUGAAGGUCUUCGGAUCGUAAAACUCUGUAUUAGGGAAGAACAAAUGUGUAAGUAACUAUGCACGUCUUGACGGUACCUAAUCAGAAAGCCACGGCUAACUACGUG
rnacentral:rRNA from 1 species